rnacentral:lncRNA from 1 species
AUAAGAGAAUGGAAACGCUAAAAACCCCAGCGGUGGUCCCCGAGCUGUGGAUGUCAUAGUCUGUCCGAAGAAUGCUUCGUGACGUGCAUGUAAACAAACAAGGCUCAAUCUCAGUCCUAAGUGGGAUUUUAUUAUCAGUAGGGAGGCUCCUGACAUAGUUAAUUUGUCCUAAAGCCCUCCCUUUGUCGGAAAUCCUGCACCACCCCUGCCCCUAGUC